GCGGCGGGCUAGGGUUCCGCCAAACCCAGCCCGCCUGCCCCUUAAUCGCCGGCGACGAGCGCGCCGCCUGCCUCCGAUGAACUCGCCGCCCGAUGGCGAGCCCACCGGCAGUCGCACGCCGCUAGGGGCAACGCCGGCGGUCGCACGCUGCCAGAGGCAACACCAGUGGCCCAACCCGUCGGCCCUUAGGAACGGCGAGGAGUGGCGAUCAGCAUUUAUGCCGUCUGCCGCCGGAUGCAACGCCGCCCGACGGUGACUAACCGGGCGAUCGCGCCACCCGCAAGAAUCUGCCACCCGACGGCGAUCAUCCGGACUAGACUAGAAUGACAACAACCUACUUAUCAGAUGAAAUUGCAAUAUCUCAUAACAUUCGUGGAUGGAUCUCAUUUCAUAUUCCUACACAAUGUUAUAAGAUUCAUCCACCUAAAAGCAAGGUUUUUAAUUCUCAAUUUAUCAGUUAUCUCAGUGGGUGUCCAAGACCAAGAAUAACCAAGAUCUCGGACAACAUGGGAAGUGGGGAAAUUUGGAGAGAACCAAGAUUUUCUGAGAUCUCGGCUGAUAUUUUUGGACCAAGAUAGGCUUCCAGAUUCAAGAACAGAGCACAAAUAAACAACAUGGAGGCGAACGACGCCGUAACUACGCAUCAAACCCUAAGCUCGAAGAGAAACGAGACGCCCAAACUCAAAGAGGAAUGCCCUGGAGAGAGAAAGAAAGGGAACGUACGUAUUCACAGAGAAGCUGGAGCUCGUUUUCCAUGAGAUGCUGGCCUUCCUUGACCUUGGAGAUCCACAGAUCCAAGUCCAUGGCGACGUUGAUUUCGAGGCGGAGAGAGAUCUGAACUUCAAAAAAAA